rnacentral:rRNA from 1 species
AUACGUAGGGGGCGAGCGUUGUCCGGAAUGAUUGGGCGUAAAGGGCGCGUAGGCGGCCCGGUAAGUCUGGAGUGAAAGUCCUGUUUUUAAGAUGGGAAUUGCUUUGAAUACUGUCGGGCUUGAGUGCAGGAGAGGUAAGUGGAAUUCCCAGUGUAGCGGUGAAAUGCGUAGAGAUUGGGAGGAACACCAGUGGCGAAGGCGACUUACUGGGCCGUAACUGACGCUGAGGCGCGAAAGCGUGGGGAGCGAACAGGAUUAGAUACCCUGGUAGUCCACGCGGUAAACGAUGAAUGCUAGGUGUUGCGGGUAUCGACCCCUGCAGUGCCGGAGUCAACACAAUAAGCAUUCCGCCUGGGGAGUACGGCCGCAAGGUUGAAACUCAAAUGAAUUGACGGG